GUGAGUCAUCGAAUCUUUGAACGCAUCUUGCGCCCUUUGGUAUUCCGAAGGGCAUGCCUGUUUGAGUGUCAUUAAAUUCUCAACUUCAAAAACUUGUUUUUUUUGAUAGCUUGGAUGUUGGAGGCUUGCAGGCAUUUUUGUCAGCUCCUCUCAAAUGCAUUAGCAGAACUUUUAAAUCGGCUUUGGUUUGAUAAUCCUAUCUAUGCCAUCGCUGGUUGUAGCUCAGCUUAUAAUUGUCUUCGGACUGUCUCGCAUGAGGCAUUAUUUAAACUUGACCUCAAAUCAGGUAGGACUACCCGCUGAACUUAAGCAUAUCAAUAAGCGGAGG
rnacentral:rRNA from 1 species